CGGGAGGCAGCAGUGGGGAAUAUUGGACAAUGGGGGCAACCCUGAUCCAGCCAUGCCGCGUGUGUGAAGAAGGCCUUUUGGUUGUAAAGCACUUUAAGCAGGGAGGAGAGGCUAAUGGUUAAUACCCAUUAGAUUAGACGUUACCUGCAGAAUAAGCACCGGCUAACUCUGUGCCAGCAGCCGCGGUAAUACAGAGGGUGCGAGCGUUAAUCGGAAUUACUGGGCGUAAAGCGAGUGUAGGUGGCUCAUUAAGUCACAUGUGAAAUCCCCGGGCUUAACCUGGGAACUGCAUGUGAUACUGGUGGUGCUAGAAUAUGUGAGAGGGAAGUAGAAUUCCAGGUGUAGCGGUGAAAUGCGUAGAGAUCUGGAGGAAUACCGAUGGCGAAGGCAGCCAUCUGGCCUAAUACUGACGCUGAGGUACGAAAGCAUGGGGAGCAAACAGGAUUAGAUACCCUGGUAGUCCAUGCCGUAAACGUUGGGCACUAGGUGUGGGGGACAUUCCACGUUUUCCGCGCCGUAGCUAACGCAUUAAGUGCCCCGCCUGGGGAGUACGGCCGCAAGGCUAAAACUCAAAGGAAUUGACGGGGGCCCGCACAAGCGGCGGAGCAUGUGGAUUAAUUCGAUGCAACGCGAAGAACCUUACCUGGUCUUGACAUCCACGGAACUUUCCAGAGAUGGAUUGGUGCCUUCGGGAACCGUGAGACAGGUGCUGCAUGGCUGUCGUCAGCUCGUGUCGUGAGAUGUUGGGUUAAGCCCCGCAACGAGCGCAACCCUCGUUCUAUGUUGCCAGCACGUGAUGGUGGGGACUCAUAGGAGACUGCCGGGGUCAACUCGGAGGAAGGUGGGGAUGACGUCAAAUCAUCAUGCCCCUUAUGACCUGGGCUACACACGUGCUACAAUGGUCGGUACAGAGGGUUGCCAAGCCGCGAGGUGGAGCUAAUCCCAUAAAACCGAUCGUAGUCCGGAUCGCAGUCUGCAACUCGACUGCGUGAAGUCGGAAUCGCUAGUAAUCGUGGAUCAGAAUGCCACGGUGAAUACGUUCCCGGGCCUUGUACACACCGCCCGUCACA
rnacentral:rRNA from 1 species